UACGGAAGGCAGCAGUGGGGAAUAUUGCACAAUGGGCGCAAGCCUGAUGCAGCCAUGCCGCGUGUAUGAAAAAGGCCUUCGGGUUGUAAAGUACUUUCAGUCGUGAGGAAGGUGUUAAGGUUAAUAACCUUAGCAAUUGACGUUAGCGACAGAAGAAGCACCGGCUAACUCCGUGCCAGCAGCCGCGGUAAUACGGAGGGUGCGAGCGUUAAUCGGAAUUACUGGGCGUAAAGGGCACGCAGGCGGUUAAUUAAGUUGGAUGUGAAAUCCCCGGGCUUAACCUGGGAAUGGCAUUCAAGACUGGUUAGCUAGAGUCUUGUAGAGGGGGUAGAAUUCCAUGUGUAGCGGUGAAAUGCGUAGAGAUGUGGAGGAUACCGGUGGCGAAGGCGGCCCCUGGGACAAGGCUGACGCUCAUGUGCGAAAGCGUGGGGAGCAAACG
rnacentral:rRNA from 1 species